rfam:Basidiobolus meristosporus CBS 931.73 K493scaffold_25, whole genome shotgun sequence.
GGCCUCGUAGCUCAGUGGAUAGAGCGUCCGCCUCCUAAGCGGAAGGUCCCAGGUUCGACCCCUGGCUUGGUUA